rnacentral:rRNA from 1 species
CCUACGGGUGGCAGCAGUAGGGAAUCUUUCACAAUGGGCGAAAGCCUGAUGGAGCAACGCCGCGUGCAGGAUGAAGGCCUUCGGGUUGUACACUGCUUUUAUAAGCGAGAAAUAUGAUGGUAACUUAUGAAUAAGGAUCGGCUAACUACGUGCCAGCAGCCGCGGUCAUACGUAGGAUCCGAGCAUUAUCCGGAGUGACUGGGUGUAAAGAGUUGCGUAGGUGGCAUAAUAAGUAGCUAGUGAAAUCUGGUGGCUCAACCAUUCAGACUAUUAGCUAAACUGUUAAGCUCGAGACCGUUAGGGGUAACUGGAAUUUCGAGUGUAGGAGUGAAAUCCGUAGAGAUUAGAAGGAACACCAAUAGCGUAGGCAGGUUGCUGGGACGGUUCUGACACUAAGGCACGAAAGCGUAGGGAGCAAACGGGAUUAGAUACCCCAGUAGUC